rnacentral:rRNA from 1 species
GCUCAGAAACUUAAAGGAAUUGACGGGGGCCCGCACAAGCGGAGGAACAUGUGGUUUAAUUCGAUGAUACGCGAGGAACCUUACCCGGGCUUGAAAUGCAUCUGACCGGUCUGGAAACAGGCCUUCUAGCAAUAGCAGAUGUGUAGGUGCUGCAUGGUUGUCGUCAGCUCGUGCCGUGAGGUGUCGGCUUAAGUGCCAUAACGAGCGCAACCCUUAUCAUUAGUUGCCAGCGGGUCAUGCCGGGAACUCUAAUGAGACUGCCACCGUAAGGUGUGAGGAAGGUGGGGAUGACGUCAAAUCAGCACGGCCCUUACGUCCGGGGCGACACACGUGUUACAAUGGUAGGUACAGAGGGGCGCUAUCCAGCGAUGGAGUGCGAAUCUCAAAAACCUAUCUCAGUUCGGAUCGGAGUCUGCAACUCGACUCCGUGAAGUUGGAUUCGCUAGUAAUCGCGCAUCAGCCAUGGCGCGGUGAAUACGUUCCCGGGCCUU